UUAAGAAUCUUGCGCAAUGGGGGCAACCCUGACGCAGCGACGCCGCGUGGAUGAUGAAGGCCUUCGGGUUGUAAAGUCCGGUAAGCAGGGAAGAAUAAGCAACGGGAAAUAUUCGUUGUGAUGACGGUACCUGCCUAAAGCCCCGGCUAACUACGUGCCAGCAGCCGCGGUAAUACGUAUGGGGCGAGCGUUGUUCGGAAUUAUUGGGCGUAAAGGGCGUCUAGGCGGGGGAUUAAGUUAGAUGUGAAAGCUAUGGGCUUAACCCAUAAAUUGCAUCUAAGACUGGUUCUCUUGAGUUCGGGAGAGGAGAGCGGAAUUCCAUGUGUAGCGGUGAAAUGCGUAGAUAUCUGGAAGAACACCAGUGGCGAAGGCGGCUCUCUGGCCUAGGACUGACUCUGAAGAGCGAAAGCGUGGUGAGCGAACA
rnacentral:rRNA from 1 species